rnacentral:rRNA from 1 species
ACGAACGCUGGCGGCGUGCUUAACACAUGCCAGUCGCACGGAAAGGCCCUGCUUUUGUGGGGUGCUCGAGUGGCGAACGGGUGAGUAACACGUGAGUAACCUGCCCUUGACUUUGGGAUAACUUCAGGAAACUGGGGCUAAUACCGGAUAGGAGCUCCUGCUGCAUGGUGGGGGUUGGAAAGUUUCGGCGGUUGGGGAUGGACUCGCGGCUUAUCAGCUUGUUGGUGGGGUAGUGGCUUACCAAGGCUUUGACGGGUAGCCGGCCUGAGAGGGUGACCGGCCACAUUGGGACUGAGAUACGGCCCAGACUCCUACGGGAGGCAGCAGUGGGGAAUAUUGCACAAUGGGCGGAAGCCUGAUGCAGCAACGCCGCGUGCGGGAUGACGGCCUUCGGGUUGUAAACCGCCUUCGCCUGUGACGAAGCGUGAGUGACGGUAAUGGGUAAAGAAGCACCGGCCAACUACGUG